CCUACGGGGGGCAGCAGUGAGGAAUAUUGGUCAAUGGACGAGAGUCUGAACCAGCCAAGUAGCGUGAAGGAUGACUGCCCUAUGGGUUGUAAACUUCUUUUAUAUGGGAAUAAAAUGUUCCACGUGUGGGAUUUUGUAUGUACCAUAUGAAUAAGGAUCGGCUAACUCCGUGCCAGCAGCCGCGGUAAUACGGAGGAUCCGAGCGUUAUCCGGAUUUAUUGGGUUUAAAGGGAGCGUAGGUGGAUUGUUAAGUCAGUUGUGAAAGUUUGCGGCUCAACCGUAGAAUUGCAGUUGAAACUGGCAGUCUUGAGUACAGUAGAGGUGGGCGGAAUUCGUGGUGUAGCGGUGAAAUGCUUAGAUAUCACGAAGAACUCCGAUUGCGAAGGCAGUUCACUGGACUGCAACUGACACUGAGGCUCGAAAGUGUGGGUAUCAAACAGGAUUAGAUACCCGAGUAGUC
rnacentral:rRNA from 1 species